CCAAUCCUAGAUCCUGUUCUAGGAGACGGAUAUCAGAAUAAAAUCGUAGAUCCGGAAAGUCAAAACCUUGUAUCGACAAAAAAAGACAUUAUGCGCAUUUCGACAAAUAAUGUCUCUUCAGUGAUGCUCAAGCCAAAUUUUUGAAAAUUCGAAAUAACAAUAAACUUUUAAGAUAGAGACGGAGAGCAACCACGUGAUCAGUAAAAAUCAUGUAUUUUCACGUGAAUUUAUUUUUCGGAAUUCCGUACACCGUCAUAGAGUAAAUGAAGAACUAAAAGGGGUUCCGAAAGUGCAAGUUGUUGCUGUGACUGACGAUUGAGGGGGUCGUCUCGUCGUAAGAUGGAGAAAUUUGGCCAUAGUUAGAUUAUGAAAACGUACAACGUAAUAAUAAUGGACCAAAAGUUUCAUCCGUGCAGAAUGGCACUUUUUAACUCACGAAAUUCACCACCAUGCAUAGCUGCGCUACGUAAACAAAGUUGUUGAUGUAGCAUGAUCGUGAUGUCCGAGUGCUGCGAGUUUCAAUACUGUUUAUGCAGUCAUUGAGGGUUUAAACAAAGUUUCGAUGGAUGCAUUCAACGUGGACAACAAAAUCAUCAUUUCGUUUGCACCAUCCUAAGGACCAGUGCAAGUUGAAAUGGGCUUCGAGCCAACAAGUUCAACAGCCUUGAAAAUCAGCAAGAAAGGGACAAUAUUUUCUUAGUUUGAAAAAUCCAUAUACAUGGAUUUCUUUGGGAAGUACAUACACUUUGUGCAGUAAAACUCUACCUAACAUGAAUAAAUAUGUAUUUAACUGAGUCAUUUAAAAAAGAGGGUGUGUCCAGGGUCCGUGUUUGCCCAACUAUCUAUUUUGUAUUGCUUGUAGGUGUUAUGAGAUUGAUCACUGUUCGUUAUCUUCACCUUGCAUCCAACGAAUUGGACUAUAUGAUGUAUGGAGAUGUACAUUAUAUAUUGUAAACAGUGUACUGUAAAUCUUUGUACAAGUGAUUAAGAACAAUUCUUUGUAAGGACCAAAAUAUUACGGCACGCACUGAAAAUUUUUUCCACUAUAAAUGUCAUCAUUCAAUUGAAAUACAUAAACCCUUUAAAAGAUAUUGCUACACUUAUUCUGAAAAGUGACUCGUUUCCAUAGCAACUGGCUACUUAUAUAGAAAAAACAGGAAAAUUAGAGUUUUGGGAAUUUUUCACUUGAAUUUAUUAUAUCACGAAUAAUUGAUAAGGAAUGUUAUGCUACAUGCUGAGACAAAGUAGUAACAAUAUUUAUCAGUAUGUAAAUCUGGAAAUGGUAUAAUUAUUGUAGCACAGCUCAUAAUUCAGGCUCAAAUGACCAAAAUUUAGCAGUUUUACUUUGUACUUUAACCAACUCCUGAGCAAAAAGCCAGCCAUAUGAAAGAUAAUAAAAUAUAAAUUUAAGAAGAAGGUAAAUAAAUUAUAUAAUGCAGGUAAAAAAAUCAAUGGGCAAAUAACAUUUUAUAAUAGAAAUUUGGCAUGGAAAAUAUGAAUUUGUUGAAUUUUGCACAUUGAGUUAUCUCCCUUUGCGUAAUUUCUAAUGUAGGAGAUAAUAAGUAGUGGUAUUGUUAACAGGAGGGAAAGGAAAGAAAAGCAGAAAACAUAUGUUUUAGGUUAUUUUAAACAUCUUUGACCAUUACUAUAUAUGUACUGGAUGUAUUCAAGUGUGAAGGAGUUGAUAAAUACACACUGUGUGUAGUGAAGAGGGUUUCCUGAAAGAAUUAACUUCAUUGAAUAUGAAUUCAAAGCACAGCUUGUGUCUACAUGCAUAUAUAUGCACCCGAUUUACGCUGUUAUAUGGUUCGUUUUGCAUUUUCCCAUUUAUUGACGGACGCUCGCAACCGACAUGUUUAUUCAGCAAACAUUGCUACUGCGAAAAAAGUGUAUUCAUGCCAGUUGGAGAACACAAGUUUACGAUCCGUGUUGGAAAAUAGAUAUUCUAGAGUAUUUAUCGAAUUCAAGUGACAACAAUGAUAAGGUUACAUCAGUUAAUGUCGACUAGCCAGAUAUACAUAACCAGGAUGCACAGUCAAAAGGAAUCCAGAGUAUUCAGAUUUGUCAAGUCAGUUUGGAUUAACCCCAGUUUGAUGAUUUUAUCAAGGCUUAAUUUUUUUUUUCAACUUUUGUCAGUGUACAUCAAUGCUUUACAGUAGCAUUAUGAAGCGAAACAAUUUGAACUUUCAUUAUAUGAUCAUUGAGCAGAAGACAAUCUUACAAACUUAACUUGUAUUCGUCUUUUGUAAAAUCACUGGAUAAGUAUUUCAAAUAAAUUUUCCCGGGGUGAUGUUACGUAUAACAUAUCAAGAGGGAAAGAAGGCGAAAGUUAGAUCCCAAACACACAUACUCAUGUACAGUUCCUGUAUUUUCAUGUUAACGGAGGCUGCAUUAGGACCUGACCCAAGAACAUAUGGUCAAGUUUAAGGUUUUUAUAUCACACAGCUCCGACGGAAGACCUUUCGUUGCUUUGCAACGAGCUUUGCUAUGGUUUAUCUAAUUAUGAUUAUAUUUCAAGGAGAAAUUUACUGUCAUUUUUCGUAAGUAAUACUAGGAAUUAUUGACAAUUUUAGGUAUGAAUUUUAGCUGAUCUUUUCUAGGAAAGUUAUGAUAUAUAGAAAAAACAUUUAUGUAAUGUCUAUGAAAAUUUCGUUUUUGUUAAAUUACCCUAUUUAUAUACAUGUGCCUAUUGUAACCUUGACCUUUGGCAUGAAGGACCUUAAAAAAACUAAUUUUAUUUCUUCUGAAAACAUAUGUUCCCUUUGAUCAAGAUGUAAUCAGUAAUAAGAAAGUUAUGUUUAUCUUUUUAAAAAAUGAUAGUUUCGCAGAGGAAAUUCAGACUUGAUUUUUGAAUGCAUUUGUAAUUUAUUUUGGUAUUUCGUUUGGGUUUUUUUUUUUUUUUUGUUUUUUUUUGGGGGGGGGGGGGGGGGAGGGGGGUUGUUACUUAAUUUAAAUUUUGAAAAAAAAUAGAGAUAAUGAAAUAUGAUGAAAAAUUGCUAUAAUUUAAGAUGGCAUGGGACGUUUUUAGUCAGCUGAAAAUUACUACAAGGCUGUGUUAUAUAUUUGAAAAAGAAAUUCGGAUUAAGGUCUUUUAAUUAGUAGUCAAUCAUUUUGAUAAGAUAGUGUUGUAUUUAUGUUCAUAAUAAAAAUGUAUUCAAACUUUAAUAAAGAAGGAAAUUUGAAUUUUAUUCAUGUUUUGUAUAUUUAUAGAAUUUUCGUACAUGGUUUGCCCACUGAUUUUAUUCCAUAAUAUGCAAUACUUAGGUUAGUUCUAUGCAAUUAUAAUAUUCAUAUUGCUGUAAGGUGCUGGCUUUUCCUGUGAAUAGGUGGUGAACAACAAUUUUCAUCAAUUUCUGUGCACUUGACAGUGAACCGUUCAGAUGUGUUUCCAUGGCAACGUUAGCAAAUUCGUUGUUAGCGAUAAAACUACAACUUAUGUGGAUUUUCAGCUAUUUAUAUGUUAAUUUACCUAUACUGAUUUCAAAGAUAGAGAAGAGUUGCUGCUAGUUUAGUUAUUGGGCUUGUAAAAAUGCAAGUUUUUACAAUUAUAGCUAUGAAUUAGAGUACUCCCAAAUGGUCAAAAUCCACUACCAUGGUUUCCAUGGCAACCAUACAUCACAAUACUAAAUCAUGUUUGAUUUCUGUCAUUUUGUGGGGUACUUUCUUUAAUCUGUAAGUUUUAUGAAAAUCUGAGACCAUGUGUGCCGGACCCCUUCAGAUUUUUUUUUGGUCGUUACAGAGAAUUGCUCUUAAUAUGUUGGUUUUAAACCAAACUGAAACUUCUAUUAUUUUCAGGAUCAAUUUCUGUCACUAUCAGAAGAUGAACGGUUUCACAGUUAGACAUUGGAUUCUCCUCAUCUGCUCCAUUUCUGUCAUCUCAGCAGCAGAGUUCUUUGGAGUGGAUGAGGAAUACUACAUGUGUUUUCCCAGAUCACUCGGUCAGUUGUAUUGGAUGUACGAACCGGGUAUGGGCACACAUCAUUAACAUUCGGGAUGAGCAACAUACUUGUGGAAAAAUGCCAUGGCCAGUAUGGGUGGCGGUGCAGUAUACAAGGAAUUUAUUCACUGAAAUCCCAAGAAGAUUCCAUGACUUGCUUGCCAUACAACAAACAACAGAUUAUGGACAUGAUUCUUAGAAUUAGAACUUGAAUGGGUCAGACUUGACUACAGUCAUGUAGCAAUAUUAAAGUUGUUGUACUUCAGGAAAAGGUGAAACGUAUUUGUUGGAAGAUGGAUAAAGAAAAAUUGGAGCAUGCACUAGACUUCUUAAAAUCCUGGUUUUUUUAUCAGGUAACAUGAUUGAGUACAAAAGAAAUGCACCUUCACAGUAGACAACUUAUAACCUUUCGACAAGAAAUUGGGACUGCCUGCCAUUCAACCAUUGUACAUGUAUGAAUUUACCAGUCCUGUUGUGAGGAAACUUAUUUCAUCUUCUUUCAAGGGUCAUGUUAUUUAGGAUUUUAACUACUUGUCCUGCAUCACAAGCUUAAAAAGAUUUCACAAUCUGACUGCAGAUGGAACUGCAUGGUUUGAAAACCUCAUAGGAAUUCUGAGAAGCAUGGAGGCCUAUAAACCAGAUAAUGACAAGAUUUCAUAGUUCGAGGAGUACCAGGAAAAUUUACUAGCAGCAAAAUUGUACUUAAAGAGAGACUCACUCAAGCAUGAAUGUAUAAUUAUUACAAAGAUGCAGACCAUAUAUAUAUAUAUAUAUAUAUAUAUAUAUAUAUAUAUAUAUAUAUAUAUAUAGAAAGAGAGAGAGAGAGAGAGAGAAUUAUAUGGUGAUAUAAUUAAACUCAUUGUCUUCAAUGGGUAUGGCAUGUCAGUAGAGAAUCAUGAUUCAUAUGUUGAUAUUUUUCAAUUAUAUACUCGUUUCAGUGCAAUGGCAUUGUACAAAUAAAUAUUUUAAGUGUUGGUAGGGAAAGUGGUUGCUAUUGUGAUAUGUGUAAACAUAUUGCCUUCCAAGGGUAAGACAUGUUAGUAAAAAAAUACAUGUUGAUAUAUUUGUAUUAUAUUCUCAUUUGAAGGCAAUUGGAAUUGCACAGUUUGAAUUUUUUGCUUGUUACUAGAGAAAAUUGGUUGCUAUGGUGAUAUAGUUGAACCUGAUGUCUUCAUUGGAUUCAACAUAUCAGUAGAAAACCAUAUAUUGGUAUAUUUGUAUUAGGUUCUCAUUCCAGUGCAAUUUAAUGAUACAACUUUAAAUUUUAUAUGCGUUGCUAAGGAAAAUCAGUUGCUAUGGUGAUAUGGUUUAAGUCAAAUUUCUCCAAUUGGUCUGAAAUAUCAAUAAACUAAAGUGAACCCUGAUGAUUUGUAUUUAUUUUCAGUUAAUAGAAUAAUUUUAAUGCAUAUAUUGCAGAUAAUCUUGUUUUAUUUUGUUGGAAAUGGGCCUGAAAAAGUUGCCUAGCAACCGUUAAUAUGUGCAUUUCCGACUCUUUUGAUUUUUAUUUUGAGUACACUUAGUAUAGAUUGUUUAGAAAAUAUGUAUCAAAAUUUGGCACUUUCCAGAUAACUAAAGUAAUAUGUAUUUAAAAUACCUUAAAAUUGUCGAAUUUACAGAAAAUUUAUGAAUAUUAAAACAAGGCAUAUUCCAAAGUCCUCUACCAAUAUCAUAUAAGAGUAUUUCAUUAGUAUUGUACAUUUUUAUAUUGAAGUAACCUUUACCUCGCCUAAAUAAAUUAUCACUGUAUUUGAAAAAUCAUUAUUUUCAUUUUUAUGCAAAUUUUAAGAAGCAUGUAU